AGGCAGGAAGAAUGCUUAAGAGUACGAGGUUAGCAGGGCGUGGUGGCAAACGCCUUUAAUCCCAGCACUUGGGAGGCAGAGGCAGGUGGAUUUCUGAUUUCGAGGUCAGCCUGGUCUACUGAGUGAUUCCAGGCCAGCUGGUUCCAGGCCAGGCCAUACAAAGAAACUUUGCCUUGAAAAACAAAAACAACCCCCACAAACAACAACAAAGUACAAAUAUGGCAACCCAUGCCAGUAAUCCCAGUACUCAGGAGGCUGAGGCAGGAGGACUGCCCUGAGUUCUAGAACAGCCUGAGCUACAGAAAUCGUUUCAACAAAUAAAUAAAUAAAUAAAUAAAAAAGAAAGAAAGAACUCAAAAUAUUACCAAUCUAAACUAGUAACAUUUUUCUUUCAAUUGACUCGAUGAAAGCCAGUGCUAUUCCCACUAAAAGGAACCCUUCUAACAGACUCAGUAUGUUAGGAAGAAACAGGCCUGGGGUAGUAGCAGCUUCAAAGGAAACAUUACCAGGUGACACUUGAAGAACAUUCAGAAGCUUUUCUCUAGAAUUACUGUAGUGUAAUUACUCUAAUUUGAAAAUUAUUGAUGGUACCAAAUUGUCUCUGUCGGUAAGGGCAAAGAGAAAUACACAGUGCUAUAAGGCAAGUCAGACUCCGCAAGGUUACCU
rnacentral:lncRNA from 1 species